rnacentral:lncRNA from 1 species
AUAAAAUUUGCCAUAGUAUAUCAUUAUUACCUUUUGGGAGUCUUAUUACAACAAUUAUGGAUGAUUAAGCUAUAUUUAAAAAAGGAGGAAAAAAGCAGUUCCAUGACCAAUAGCACUAACAAAAGUAAGUUUUCCAUAUUUGUUUUGUUUUUGUUGUCAUUCUUAUCUAGUUUGGUGUGAUAGAAAAUGAAAUCUUCCUUGAAUAUUUUCCUGCUGUACAUGUGUUUAUAGGAGGCCUCUGAGGUUGGGAUCUCUGUGUCCGGUAUUAUGUUUAUUCACAACUGUAUGCACUUUCCCUCAGUAGAUUGUCUACAGCUAAAAAACUCUAGUCGCUGUAAUUAUUCCCAAGACCUAUAUCUUCUACCAAAUCUGGUUGCAAUGAACCAUGCAGGAAUUAUCAGAAGUUACUGGCGAAUGUGGGAGGCACACAGGUGCAUUUGGAAAGUUACUUAAUGGCAGACUGAUGACAACUCUGGGGAAUGAGACUGAAUAAGGUACUGACAUCGAACCUUCUUUAUUUUGAUUUUUGUCCUGAAUGUUUUCUCUCUCACUUGUUUUCCUUUCAGGCUGGAAACCAGUGCGAGCAUGAUUACACGGAGGAAACUCAUACAGCUUUCAUCUGGCAGAAGGCUGGGAAGGACAGUUUGGUGCAAGGGGCAAACCCAAAAGCACCAAAUUUCUGCAAUGUCAUGUACAAGCAUGCCCUCCUCUCUGGUCUCCAAAAAUCUUGCUCUCUUGGCAGUACAGGAAGAUGAGUUUGACAAAGGCAAUUGAAACUUUGCUAAUGAAGAAUACUAGAUCCACCUUUAAGGAAUGUUAAGUAAGUGCUUUGUUUUUUAUGAAAGGCACCUCUUUAAUAUGUAAAGUAACUGUAGAAAUGUCAACAUUUCAUUCUUAGACACCUUGCUAAAUUCUGCAGAGGUUUAUCAAAUUACUGUUAGGUUUUUCUUUUCCUUAAUUAUAUCUAUUCUUACAGCAUUUCCUUGCAGUGAAGCUCUGUGGACCAAUCCUGAAAAAAGCACACUCAACGUUUGCUUAACACAGCUUAAUCAAACUAGUCUUCAUAUUGGCAAUCACUGCAUGGCACAAAUUUC